AAUCAACGCUGGCGGCGUGCCUCAGACAUGCAAGUCGAACGAUUAAAGCUCUCUUCGGAGAGUGUAUAGAGUGGCGCACGGGUGAGUAACACGUAAGUAAUCUACCUUUGAGUGGGGAAUAACAGUCGGAAACGACUGCUAAUACCGCAUAAUGCAGCGGCAUCGCAAGAUGACAGUUGUUAAAGGAGCAAUCCGCUUAAAGAGGAGCUUGCGGCAGAUUAGCUAGUUGGUAAGGUAAUGGCUUACCAAGGCUACGAUCUGUAUCCGGUCUAAGAGGACGGUCGGACACACUGACACUGAAUAACGGGUCAGACUCCUACGGGAGGCAGCAGUCGGGAAUUUUGGGCAAUGGGCGAAAGCCUGACCCAGCAACGCCGCGUGAAGGAUGAAGUAUUUCGGUAUGUAAACUUCGAAAGAAUGGGAAGAAUAAAUGACGGUACCAUUUAUAAGGUCCGGCUAACUACGUGCCAGCAGCCGCAGUAAC
rnacentral:rRNA from 1 species